rnacentral:rRNA from 1 species
CUGGCGGCGGCUAUACAUGCAGUCGAACGCUUUGUGGUUCAACUGAUUUGAAGAGCUUGCUCAGAUAUGACGAUGGACAUUGCAAAGAGUGGCGAACGGGUGAGUAACACGUGGGAAACCUACCUCUUAGCAGGGGAUAACAUUUGGAAACAGAUGCUAAUACCGUAUAACAAUAGCAACCGCAUGGUUGCUACUUAAAAGAUGGUUCUGCUAUCACUAAGAGAUGGUCCCGCGGUGCAUUAGUUAGUUGGUGAGGUAAUGGCUCACCAAGACGAUGAUGCAUAGCCGAGUUGAGAGACUGAUCGGCCACAAUGGGACUGAGACACGGCCCAUACUCCUACGGGAGGCAGCAGUAGGGAAUCUUCCACAAUGGGCGAAAGCCUGAUGGAGCAACGCCGCGUGUGUGAUGAAGGGUUUCGGCUCGUAAAACACUGUUGUAAGAGAAGAAUGACAUUGAGAGUAACUGUUCAAUGUGUGACGGUAUCUUACCAGAAAGGAACGGCUAAAUACGUGCCAGCAGCCGCGGUAAUACGUAUGUUCCAAGCGUUAUCCGGAUUUAUUGGGCGUAAAGCGAGCGCAGACGGUUAUUUAAGUCUGAAGUGAAAGCCCUCAGCUCAACUGAGGAAUUGCUUUGGAAACUGGAUGACUUGAGUGCAGUAGAGGAAAGUGGAACUCCAUGUGUAGCGGUGAAAUGCGUAGAUAUAUGGAAGAACACCAGUGGCGAAGGCGGCUUUCUGGACUGUAACUGACGUUGAGGCUCGAAAGUGUGGGUAGCAAACAGGAUUAGAUACCCUGGUAGUCCACACCGUAAACGAUGAGUGCUAGGUGUUUGAGGGUUUCCGCCCUUAAGUGCCGCAGCCAACGCAUUAAGCACUCCGCCUGGGGAGUACGACCGCAAGGUUGAAACUUCAAAGGAAUUGACGGGA